GCUUAACGGCAUGAAUUCUGAGGAUACUGCCAUACUUGAGGUCGAGAGAGGUCGGAGGUACUCCUGGGGUAGCGGUGAAAUGCUAUAAUCCUGGGGGGACCACCAGUGGCGAAAGCGUCCGAGCAGAGCGAGCCUGACGGUAAGGGACGAAAGCCAGGGGAGCGAACGGGAUUAGAUACCCCGGUAGUCCUGGCCGUAAACGCUGUGGGCUAGGUGUUGCAUGCUCUACGAGGGCAUGCAGUGCCGAAGAGAAGUUGAUAAGCCUACCGCCUGGGAAGUACUAUCGCAAGAUAGAAACUUAAAGGAAUUGGCGGGGGAGCACCACAAGGGGUGAAGUCUGCGGUUUAAUUGGAUUCAACGCCGGAAAUCUCACUGGAGGCGACGGCAGAAUGACAGCCAAGCUGAUGACUUUGCUUGACGAGCCGAGAGGAGGUGCAUGGCCGUCGUCAGCUCGUACCGUAAGGCGUCCUGUUAAGUCAGGCAACGAGCGAGACCCGUGCCCUUAUUUGUCAUCUGACCCCUGCGGGGGUCAAGACCCAUUAAGGGGACCGCUGCUGAUAAAGCAGAGGAAGGAGCGAGCACCGAUAGGUCAGUAUGCCCCGAAUCCUUCAGGCUACCCGCGGACUGCAAUGGCUAGUACAAUGGGCCCCAACUCCGAAAGGAGAAGGAAAUCCCGAAAGCUAGUCUUAGUUCGGAUUGUGGGCUGUAAAUCGCCCACACGAAGCCGAAAUCCCUAGUAAUCGCGUCUC
rnacentral:rRNA from 1 species